rnacentral:rRNA from 1 species
UGCCCAUAAGACUGGGAUAACUCCGGGAAACCGGGGCUAAUACCGGAUAACAUUUUGAACUGCAUGGUUCGAAAUUGAAAGGCGGCUUCGGCUGUCACUUAUGGAUGGACCCGCGUCGCAUUAGCUAGUUGGUGAGGUAACGGCUCACCAAGGCAACGAUGCGUAGCCGACCUGAGAGGGUGAUCGGCCACACUGGGACUGAGACACGGCCCAGACUCCUACGGGAGGCAGCAGUAGGGAAUCUUCCGCAAUGGACGAAAGUCUGACGGAGCAACGCCGCGUGAGUGAUGAAGGCUUUCGGGUCGUAAAACUCUGUUGUUAGGGAAGAACAAGUGCUAGUUGAAUAAGCUGGCACCUUGACGGUACCUAACCAGAAAGCCACGGCUAACUACGUGCCAGCAGCCGCGGU